rnacentral:rRNA from 1 species
CAUGCAAGUCGAGCGGAUGACGGGAGCUUGCUCCUUGAUUCAGCGGCGGACGGGUGAGUAAUGCCUAGGAAUCUGCCUGGUAGUGGGGGACAACGUUUCGAAAGGAACGCUAAUACCGCAUACGUCCUACGGGAGAAAGCAGGGGACCUUCGGGCCUUGCGCUAUCAGAUGAGCCUAGGUCGGAUUAGCUAGUUGGUGGGGUAAUGGCUCACCAAGGCGACGAUCCGUAACUGGUCUGAGAGGAUGAUCAGUCACACUGGAACUGAGACACGGUCCAGACUCCUACGGGAGGCAGCAGUGGGGAAUAUUGGACAAUGGGCGAAAGCCUGAUCCAGCCAUGCCGCGUGUGUGAAGAAGGUCUUCGGAUUGUAAAGCACUUUAAGUUGGGAGGAAGGGCAGUAAGUUAAUACCUUGCUGUUUUGACGUUACCGACAGAAUAAGCACCGGCUAACUCUGUGCCAGCAGCCGCGGUAAUACAGAGGGUGCAAGCGUUAAUCGGAAUUACUGGGCGUAAAGCGCGCGUAGGUGGUUUGUUAAGUUGGAUGUGAAAGCCCCGGGCUCAACCUGGGAACUGCAUCCAAAACUGGCAAGCUAGAGUACGGUAGAGGGUGGUGGAAUUUCCUGUGUAGCGGUGAAAUGCGUAGAUAUAGGAAGGAACACCAGUGGCGAAGGCGACCACCUGGACUGAUACUGACACUGAGGUGCGAAAGCGUGCGGAGCAAACAGGAUUAGAUACCCUGGUAGUCCACGCCGUACACGAUGUCAACUAGCCGUUGGAAUCCUUGAGAUUUUAGUGGCGCAGCUAACGCAUUAAGUUGACCGCCUGGGGAGUACGGCCGCAAGGUUAAAACUCAAAUGAAUUGACGGGGGCCCGCACAAGCGGUGGAGCAUGUGGUUUAA